CAAGAAGGCAUCUUCUUGUUUUUAAAAGACCUAGCAAUAGGUAUGCUUAGGGAGGAGCUUGCGUCACAUUAGUUAGUUGGUGGGGUAAAGGCCUACCAAGACUAUGAUGUGUAGCCGGGCUGAGAGGUUGAACGGCCACAUUGGGACUGAGACACGGCCCAAACUCCUACGGGAGGCAGCAGUAGGGAAUUUUCGGCAAUGGAGGAAACUCUGACCGAGCAACGCCGCGUGAACGAUGAAGUAUUUCGGUACGUAAAGUUCUUUUAUUAGGGAAGAAUAAAUGAUGGAAAAAUCAUUCUGACGGUACCUAAUGAAUAAGCCCCGGCUAACUAUGUGCCAGCAGCCGCGGUAAUACAUAGGGGGCAAGCGUUAUCCGGAAUUAUUGGGCGUAAAGGGUGCGUAGGCGGUUAAAUAAGUUUAUGGUCUAAGUGCAAUGCUCAACAUUGUGAUGCUAUAAAAACUGUUUAGCUAGAGUAAGAUAGAGGCAAGUGGAAUUCCAUGUGUAGUGGUAAAAUGCGUAAAUAUAUGGAGGAACACCAGUAGCGAAGGCGGCUUGCUGGGUCUUUACUGACGCUGAGGCACGAAAGCGUGGGGAGCAAACAGGAUUAGAUACCCUGGUAGUCCACGCCGUAAACGAUGAGUACUAAACGUUGGGUAAAACCAGUGUUGAAGUUAACACAUUAAGUACUCCGCCUGAGUAGUACGUACGCAAGUAUGAAACUUAAAGGAAUUGACGGGACUCCGCACAAGCGGUGGAUCAUGUUGUUUAAUUCGAAGGUACCCGAAAAACCUCACCAGGUCUUGACAUGCUUCUGCAAAGCUGUAGAAACACAGUGGAGGUUAUCAGUUGCACAGGUGGUGCAUGGUUGUCGUCAGCUCGUGUCGUGAGAUGUUGGGUUAAGUCCCGCAACGAGCGCAACCCUUAUUGUUAGUUACCAGCACGUAAUGGUGGGGACUUUAGCAAGACUGCCAGUGAUAAAUUGGAGGAAGGUGGGGAUGACGUCAAAUCAUCAUGCCCCUUAUGACCUGGGCUACAAACGUGAUACAAUGGCUGUUACAAAGGGUAGCUGAAGCGCAAGUUUUUGGCGAAUCUCAAAAAAACAGUCUCAGUUCGGAUUGAAGUCUGCAACUCGACUUCAUGAAGUUGGAAUCGCUAGUAAUCGCGAAUCA
rnacentral:rRNA from 1 species